UGGGGAAUUUUGGACAAUGGGGGCAACCCUGAUCCAGCCAUGCCGCGUGCAGGAAGAAGGCCUUCGGGUUGUAAACUGCUUUCGGCCGGGACGAAAUUGCCUCUCCGAACAGGAGGGGUAGAUGACGGUACCGGAAGAAGAAGCACCGGCUAACUACGUGCCAGCAGCCGCGGUAAUACGUAGGGUGCGAGCGUUAAUCGGAAUUACUGGGCGUAAAGCGUGCGCAGGCGGAUGCUUAAGCCAGACGUGAAAUCCCUGGGCUUAACCUAGGAAUGGCGUUUGGAACUGGGCAUCUAGAGUGCGGCAGAGGGAGGUGGAAUUCCUGGUGUAGCAGUGAAAUGCGUAGAGAUCAGGAGGAACACCGAUGGCGAAGGCAGCCUCCUGGGCUGACACUGACGCUCAUGC
rnacentral:rRNA from 1 species